CGAAGAAUUUCCACGAUAUUAAAAAAUACUAUAACGUAUUUAAAUAUAGAUAUCAGAAACUAUAUAAAAUAUUCAAAGGUAGAACCCAGAAAAUUUAUAGUUUUUCAAGGUAGAUCUGGGCAAAUAUAGAUCAUUUCGAGGUAGAUCUCAGGAAACAUAUAGUAUUCCAAGGUAGAUAUAGAUAUGAUAAGUAUACAUUAUUUCAAUGUAGAUCUCGAGAAAUAUAAAUCAUUUCAAGAAAGCUCGCGGGAAGUAUAAAUUAUUCUAAGGUAGUUCUCGGGAAAACAAAUUAUUUCCAGGUAUAUGUCGGGAUAUAUAGUAAUUUAUUGAAUUAAAAAACAAUAAUUAAACAAUAAUAAGUAGUUCGUGUAAAAGUAGAUCUCGGAAACGAUUAAUUAUGAAACAUAUCCAGGAAAAUAUAAUUUGUUAUAAAAAGACAUAAAAAAAACUAUUAAGAGAUAUCCUUUUUCAUUUCAGAAAAUCAAAGCAAUGUCAAAUUAUUUCAGAAAGUAAAUUCGUAAGACACAGCAUUGCAUGUCAUCUAAUGAGUGGUAUCGUAAAUUGAUCUAUACUAUCAGAUUGUUUAUCUAGCUUCCUACUUUUGUCAGAUGUGUACAUAAUUUGUACAAACCAUGACUUAUAUUUUACAUUAUAUGUAAAUUAUUCUAAAACGUUACGUGUAUUUUGAUGCAGAUCUACUUUCAUGUAGUAAAUGUGGAUGUAGUGGUAUUUUAACUUUUGGUUGACAAUUCCCCACGUGAGUUCAUCACGUAGACAAUACACCUCUGUUACAGACUCGCGUACUAUAAUAGUUGACCUCGAGGUCACGCAUAUUAAAACUAAAUUAUUGCGCUACUCAUGCGUCUGUCUGAUCUAAAUGAUCUUAUUUUAUGAAAUAUUAAUACCAAUACCAAACCGACAGUUUAUAUAUACAUGGGGAAAAGAAGUAAUUCCAACAGUGGGGGCAAUGGAAAUUGUCAAAUUUUAGAGGUAAUCCGUCCCUUUAUCAAGACACAAAGAAUAUAAAUAACAUCACAUGAUAUAUAAACAGUACUAGAAAAUACAAUAAGAUACAGUAAGAGUAAUAGCUUUGGUAGUAGUUGAAAAAUCAUGAACCUUUCAGCUGGACAUGUCAAGUAAUUCGUAUCCUGCAGACAUACCUUUGCAAGGAUCCAAUGUUGUUCGGCAACUUAACGGUUAUAUUACCUAACAGAACAAUGAUGUGGUACUGGCAUUUGUUCUACGUGCAAAAGCGAUUAAAGAUGUUUUAUGGAGGGGACCACAAUGCAGUAUGGGUUUCAAAGCAGGAUAUUGUUUAAUUUAAAUUGUUGUGGAGAUAUAAGAAUAACGUGUAAUUAAGUUUGACAUAUUAUGUAUCAAAAUGAACCUUGUGAAUAUCAUCAAUAAAAUAAUCAGUUGAAGAACA